GUCAACAAUUUCGUGAUAUUCCUGGUGCACGUGUUCCCACCCGAAGGCAGGUUCAACCACAAGGAACCAGGUCACAUGAUCUACAUCACCGGCGUGAAGACCUUCGAGAGCGCAGUCAGCGUGAUUGUGGAUAUCAUGACCAUCAUAGGAGUGUGGGACAUGGACAAGCGUACUACUACGUCCCGUAAGCAAGCAUAUGGAUACCGCCACAAGUUGAUUGCUCACCUGAAGG
rnacentral:lncRNA from 1 species